GGGGAAUAUUGGGCAAUGGGCGCAAGCCUGACCCAGCAAUGCCGCGUGGGUGAAGAAGGUCUUCGGAUUGUAAAGCCCUUUCGGCGGGGACGAUGAUGACGGUACCCGCAGAAGAAGCUCCGGCCAACUUCGUGCCAGCAGCCGCGGUAAUACGAAGGGGGCUAGCGUUGCUCGGAAUCACUGGGCGUAAAGGGCGCGUAGGCGGCCCUGUUGGUCGGGCGUGAAAUCCCUGGGCUCAACCCGGGGGCUGCGCCCGAAACGGCAGGGCUAGAGGAUGGAAGAGGCUCGCGGAAUUCCCAGUGUAGAGGUGAAAUUCGUAGAUAUUGGGAAGAACACCGGUGGCGAAGGCGGCGAGCUGGUCCAUUACUGACGCUGAGGCGCGACAGCGUGGGGAGCAAA
rnacentral:rRNA from 1 species